rnacentral:rRNA from 1 species
GACGAACGCUGGCGGCGUGCCUAAUACAUGCAAGUCGAGCGCAGGAAAUCAUCCGAACCCUUCGGGGGGACGUUGAUGGAAUGAGCGGCGGACGGGUGUGUAACACGUAAAGAACCUGCCCUCAGGUCUGGGAUAACCACGAGAAAUCGGGGCUAAUACCGGAUGGGCCAUCGGACCGCAUGGUCCGAGGAUGAAAGGCGCUUCGGCGUCGCCUGGGGAUGGCUUUGCGGUGCAUUAGCUAGUUGGGGGGGUAAUGGCCCACCAAGGCGACGAGGCAUAGCCGACCUGAGAGGGUGAUCGGCCACACUGGGACUGAGACACGGCCCAGACUCCGACGGGAGGCAGCAGUAGGGAAUCUUCCACAAUGGACGAAAGUCUGAUGGAGCAACGCCGCGUGAACGAUGAAGGCCUUCGGGUCGUAAAGUUCUGUUGUAAGGGAAGAACAAGUGCCGCAGGCAAUGGCGGCACCUUGACGGUACCUUGCGAGAAAACCACGGCUAACUACGUGCCAGCCGCCGCGGUAA